rnacentral:misc_RNA from 1 species
GUUUUCUUCAUAUUGUCGGCAUGUUGCCUCACGGAAAUCUGUAACCGGAGAGAAAUCAACAAUGAUCGGACGACCUGCAUAAAAUCUUCCAGUCAGAUUGCUAAGUGCUGUGGCCGCGUGCUCUUCCUCCCUAAACUGAACAUACACAUUACCCACCAUGUGAUCAGCCAAAUUGUCACAAAUGUUGAGGCUCUCAAUUUCGCCAUACUUGCUUAGCUCUCGAAAUAAAUCCUCAUAGAAAUCAUCGAAAUGCUCCUGGAUCUUACGAGGAUCCAUGGGCUGGCCCAGAGCGUCGACGCCGGGGGUGAUCAU